UGAACGCUGGCGGCAGGCUUAACACAUGCAAGUCGAGCGGUAACAGGGGGUGCUUGCACCCCGCUGACGAGCGGCGGACGGGUGAGUAAUACAUAGGAAUCUGCCCAGUAGUGGGGGAUAGCCCGGGGAAACCCGGAUUAAUACCGCAUACGCCCUUUGGGGGAAAGCAGGGGAUCUUCGGACCUUGCGCUAUUGGAUGAGCCUAUGUCGGAUUAGCUAGUUGGUGGGGUAAGAGCCUACCAAGGCGACGAUCCGUAGCUGGUCUGAGAGGAUGAUCAGCCACAUCGGGACUGAGACACGGCCCGAACUCCUACGGGAGGCAGCAGUGGGGAAUAUUGGACAAUGGGGGCAACCCUGAUCCAGCCAUGCCGCGUGUGUGAAGAAGGCUUUCGGGUUGUAAAGCACUUUCAGUGAGGAGGAAAACCUUNCGACUAAUACUCGUGAGGCUUGACGUUACUCACAGAAGAAGCACCGGCUAACUCCGUGCCAGCAGCCGCGGUAAUACGGAGGGUGCAAGCGUUAAUCGGAAUUACUGGGCGUAAAGCGCGCGUAGGUGGUUUGAUAAGCGAGAUGUGAAAGCCCCGGGCUUAACCUGGGAAC
rnacentral:rRNA from 1 species